rnacentral:tRNA from 1 species
GCCCGGGUGGUCUAGUGGGUAAGCAACAUCCCCUUCCGUGUUACUCCGGAAUGCCUUUACUAACACGAAAUCAGUAUGAUUCUCGCUUAGGGUGCGAGAGGUCCCGCGUUCGAUCCGCGGCUCGGGCC